rnacentral:rRNA from 1 species
UACGUAGGGCGCGAGCGUUGUCCGGAAUUAUUGGGCGUAAAGAGCUCGUAGGCGGCUUGGUGCGUCUGCUGUGAAAUCCCGGGGCUUAACCCCGGGCGUGCAGUGGAUACGGGCAGGCUGGAGGCAGGCAGGGGAGAAUGGAAUUCCCGGUGUAGCGGUGAAAUGCGCAGAUAUCGGGAGGAACACCGGUGGCGAAGGCGGUUCUCUGGGCCUGUACUGACGCUGAGGAGCGAAAGCGUGGGGAGCGAACAGG